rnacentral:lncRNA from 1 species
UACAUUAUUUUAAUUUUAUUGUUUGAUUAUGAUAUUUUCUGCAUCUUGUAAAUCAUUUUGUAUUUGUUAUGGUAUUUUUCUAUCUCGUAAAUCAUCACCUUGCCAUCUAAAUUAAUGCUUGAUAAAAAAACUUUUCAAUACAUUUCCUCGGUUGAUUCCAGAUUAGUUGAAAAAAUUCAACUGGUAUGUAAAGCAUUGUCUGAGAGAGUGAUUAGAAAGUGAUGAUAAGAUAUUUCUUGAAAACUCAUAUUUUAUUCAUUACAUAUUUUUGCAUUACUAUACACUUGUAAGUUUUUAGUUCUUAGCAUCAACUCAUGAAGGAAACUAAAUCUCUGUUACAAACUUCCAAGUUUAUGGGAUCAAUUAUAGAAGAAACUAAAGCUCAGCUCAUAAAGGAAACUAAACAUAUAGCAUUUAACAACUUUUGCUUCAUCUAGGUCUAGCAUUAGCUGCAAUCCUUCUCUCAAAUUGUACCACAAAAAAUAUCAAAAAUAAAAAAAUAAAUAUAUUUCC